GUUACCGCCUCCUAUACCGGUACAGAAGGGAGGUGCUCACUAUGGAUUUAGUAUUAUCUUUUAUUGUCGCUGUUGCGGCUGGUGUAGUUUGCCACUACAUCAUCAAAUGGUUAGAUGGCGACAAAUAGCCGGUAACUAGCCUGUGGAUAUAAGCCUUUCCACACCAAAAUUAGGAAUAGAAAACCCCUCGGAAUGCAGUCCGAGGGGUUUUCAUUGCUGUUCACU
rnacentral:sRNA from 1 species